GCCGCGGUAGCUCAAUUGGUAGAGCAUCGCACCUGAAAUGCGAAGGUUGUGGGUUCGGUUCCCAUCUGCGGCA
rnacentral:tRNA from 1 species